GAUGAACGCUGGCGGCGUGCCUAAUACAUGCAAGUCGAGCGAACGGACGAGAAGCUUGCUUCUCUGAUGUUAGCGGCGGACGGGUGAGUAACACGUGGAUAACCUACCUAUAAGACUGGGAUAACUUCGGGAAACCGGAGCUAAUACCGGAUAAUAUUUUGAACCGCAUGGUUCAAAAGUGAAAGACGGUCUUGCUGUCACUUAUAGAUGGAUCCGCGCUGCAUUAGCUAGUUGGUAAGGUAACGGCUUACCAAGGCAACGAUGCAUAGCCGACCUGAGAGGGUGAUCGGCCACACUGGAACUGAGACACGGUCCAGACUCCUACGGGAGGCAGCAGUAGGGAAUCUUCCGCAAUGGGCGAAAGCCUGACGGAGCAACGCCGCGUGAGUGAUGAAGGUCUUCGGAUCGUAAAACUCUGUUAUUAGGGAAGAACAUAUGUGUAAGUAACUGUGCACAUCUUGACGGUACCUAAUCAGAAAGCCACGGCUAACUACGUGCCAGCAGCCGCGGUAAUACGUAGGUGGCAAGCGUUAUCCGGAAUUAUUGGGCGUAAAGCGCGCGUAGCGGUUUUUUAAGUCUGAUGUGAAAGCCCACGGCUCAACCGUGGAGGGUCAUUGGAAACUGGAAAACUUGAGUGCAGAAGAGGAAAGUGGAAUUCCAUGUGUAGCGGUGAAAUGCGCAGAGAUAUGGAGGAACACCAGUGGCGAAGGCGACUUUCUGGUCUGUAACUGACGCUGAUGUGCGAAAGCGUGGGGAUCAAACAGGAUUAGAUACCCUGGUAGUCCACGCCGUAAACGAUGAGUGCUAAGUGUUAGGGGGUUUCCGCCCCUUAGUGCUGCAGCUAACGCAUUAAGCACUCCGCCUGGGGAGUACGACCGCAAGGUUGAAACUCAAAGGAAUUGACGGGGACCCGCACAAGCGGUGGAGCAUGUGGUUUAAUUCGAAGCAACGCGAAGAACCUUACCAAAUCUUGACAUCCUUUGACAACUCUAGAGAUAGAGCCUUCCCCUUCGGGGGACAAAGUGACAGGUGGUGCAUGGUUGUCGUCAGCUCGUGUCGUGAGAUGUUGGGUUAAGUCCCGCAACGAGCGCAACCCUUAAGCUUAGUUGCCAUCAUUAAGUUGGGCACUCUAAGUUGACUGCCGGUGACAAACCGGAGGAAGGUGGGGAUGACGUCAAAUCAUCAUGCCCCUUAUGAUUUGGGCUACACACGUGCUACAAUGGACAAUACAAAGGGCAGCGAAACCGCGAGGUCAAGUAAAUCCCAUAAAGUUGUUCUCAGUUCGGAUUGUAGUCUGCAACUCGACUACAUGAAGCUGGAAUCGCUAGUAAUCGUAGAUCAGCAUGCUACGGUGAAUACGUUCCCGGGUCU
rnacentral:rRNA from 1 species